rnacentral:rRNA from 1 species
CAACUUUCAACAACGGAUCUCUUGGCUCUCGCAUCGAUGAAGAACGCAGCGAAAUGCGAUAAGUAAUGUGAAUUGCAGGAUUCAGUGAAUCAUCGAAUCUUUGAACGCACCUUGCGCUCCUUGGUAUUCCGAGGAGCAUGCCUGUUUGAGUGUCAUUA